rnacentral:sRNA from 22 species
GACUUUCGCAAGGGUCCACUCCUCCUCCCAGGACCCAAGCGGAUCGGAAACUGCCACUCCUCCUCCCAGGCAGUUUCCACCCAGACGCCCGCCGGGUCCUCCCCCCGGCGGGCGCCCAGA